UACGAAGGGGGCUAGCGUUGCUCGGAAUCACUGGGCGUAAAGGGCUCGUAGGCGGCCAACUAAGUCGGACGUGAAAUCCCUCGGCUCAACCGGGGAACUGCGUCCGAUACUGGAUGGCUCGAGUUCGGGAGAGGGAUGCGGAAUUCCAGGUGUAGCGGUGAAAUGCGUAGAUAUCUGGAGGAACACCGGUGGCGAAGGCGGCAUCCUGGACCGACACUGACGCUGAGGAGCGAAAGCCAGGGGAGCAAACGGG
rnacentral:rRNA from 1 species